rnacentral:rRNA from 1 species
UACGAAGGGGGCUAGCGUUGUUCGGAAUUACUGGGCGUAAAGCGCACGUAGGCGGAUAUUUAAGUCAGGGGUGAAAUCCCAGAGCUCAACUCUGGAACUGCCUUUGAUACUGGGUAUCUUGAGUAUGGAAGAGGUAAGUGGAAUUCCGAGUGUAGAGGUGAAAUUCGUAGAUAUUCGGAGGAACACCAGUGGCGAAGGCGGCUUACUGGUCCAUUACGGACGCUGAGGUGCGAAAGCGUGGGAGCAAACAGG